GGUGGUUCAGUGGUAGAGCAUUUGCCUUGCAUGCAUGAGGUCCUGAGUUCGAUUCCUCAGCACCA
rnacentral:tRNA from 1 species